UCUAGUCUCAAAGAUGAUGCAUACAUGUCAACUAUGGGUGUUGGGUCCAACAAUUCGCAUUGGUCUCAAACCAAUGACAUCCAUUUCGAAGACCAUGAGUUUGAGGUGGACGAGGAGGGUGAGGGCAUUGUCGACGCGCCGAAAGGAAGAGCGGGCAAUUACAGCACCAACGAUGACAAGUUACUAUGCAAUACUUGGUUGCAAGUGUCGAGGGAUCCAUCCGUUGGAGGUGAUCAAAGUAGAGAUGCAUAUUGGGGGCGAAUGAAAGAACACUUUGAUGCUCACAACGGGAGUGGAAUUGACCGCUCCGAGAGAUCACUUCGGUCCCGAUGGUCGACAAUCAACUCGGAUUGUCAAAAGUGGGCGGCCGCACAAAAGGCAGUUGACAAGAUUAACCCAAGUGGCACAAAUGAGGAUGAUAGAGUAAGUGGCAUCUCAUAUAUGUUCAUCAUACUUGUUUUUGGUGUCCGAAGUGCUAAUUUGUAUUGUUUUUCUUCUAGUACAACAUUGCACAAAACUUGUUCAAAGAAGAGACGAGGACAACCAAGAAGGGGAAGAUCAAGAAAGGAAGGAUCUUUACCUUGCCUCAUUGCUAUGAAGUGUUAA
rnacentral:rRNA from 1 species